rfam:Populus trichocarpa scaffold_19_contig_393, whole genome shotgun sequence.
AUCUGAUGAUGAGGGCAUUGAAUGCACAAUUACUCAAAUCUUUCCCAAUACUCGAAGAGUGUCUCCCUAUGAGACUGUCGAAUCCCACAUAUUUCUUUCCUUAUGUU